rnacentral:rRNA from 1 species
CCCGCUGAACUUAAGCAUAUCAAUAAGCGGAGGAAAAGAAACUAACAAGGAUUCCCCUAGUAACUGCGAGUGAAGAGGGAAAAGCUCAAAUUUAAAAUCUGGCAGCUUCGCUGUCCGAGUUGUAAUUUAGAGAAGUGUUACCCGCGUUGGACCGUGUACAAGUCUCCUGGAACGCAGCGUCAUAGAGGGUGAGAAUCCCGUCUUUGACACGCACUACCAAGGUUAUGUGGUACGCUCUCGAAGAGUCGAGUUGUUUGGGAAUGCAUCUCUAAAUGGGUGGUAAAUUCCAUCUCAAGCUAAAUAUUGGCGAGAGACCGAUAGCAAACAAGUACCGUGAGGGAAAGAUGAAAAGAACUUUGUAAAGAGAGUUAAACAGUACGCGAAAUUGUUGAAAGGGAAACGCUUAAAGUCCAGUCGCGUUGGUUAGGAAUCAGCCUUGGUUUUCCGUGGUGUACUUCCUGAUCGACGGGUCAACAUGCAGUUUUGACCGUUGGAUAAAGGUCGAGGGAAUGUGGCACCUUGGGGUGUGUUAUAGCCCUUGAUUGUAUACAGCGGUUGGGACUGAGGAACUCAGCACGCCUAAAGGCCGGGUCUUGCACCAGGUGCGUCGCUUAGGAUGCUGGCAUAAUGGCUUUAAUCGACCCGUCUUGAAACACGG